GACAGAGGGUGCAAACGUUGUUCGGAAUUACUGGGCGUAAAGCGCGUGUAGGCGGCCCAGCAAGUCGGAUGUGAAAGCCCUGGGCUUAACCUAGGAAGUGCAUUCGAAACUGCUGGGCUUGAGUUCUGGAGAGGAAGGCGGAAUUCUCGGUGUAGAGGUGAAAUUCGUAGAUAUCGAGAGGAACACCGGUGGCGAAGGCGGCCUUCUGGACAGUGACUGACGCUGAGGAGCGAAAGCUAGGGGAGCAAACGGG
rnacentral:rRNA from 1 species